rnacentral:rRNA from 1 species
UACGGGGGGGGCAAGCGUUGUUCGGAAUUACUGGGCGUAAAGGGCUCGUAGGCGGCCAACUAAGUCAGACGUGAAAUCCCUCGGCUUAACCGGGGAACUGCGUCUGAUACUGGAUGGCUUGAGUUUGGGAGAGGAAUGCGGAAUUCCAGGUGUAGCGGUGAAAUGCGUAGAUAUCUGGAGGAACACCGGUGGCGAAGGCGGCAUUCUGGACCGACAUUGACGCUGAGGCGCGAAAGCCAGGGGAGCAAACGGG